UGAGGUACCACCCAAGACAACCAUUUGUUUUUGAGGUUAAUUUUUUUAGCCUCCUUAGCUUGCCAUUCAUUUUCGGAAUUCAAGAGAUGUGUUGCUGGACACGGCUAUGUGAGGUUUGGUAAAUGUCAGGUCACUUCUUUCCAGCUUCCAGUUACCAGCUACUGAUGAGUGCAGGUGUGAAAGAGCGCUGCCUGUUCCUGCAGUCGUACUAACUUCUGUAGAGCUAUACUAAUACCUCUUUGGUGCUAUUAUUUAUAUGACUUCAUAUUUAUGUGGCUUCUCUAGUUGUUGUCAGCAGGAAUGUUGGCUGUGACACAUUAUUAGUUACUUGGAAUCGGAAGUUCAGUAUGAUGUGUUUUGAUGGGGAUUUAGAUGUCUGCCUGAGUGUUUCUGAUGAGUGAUUUGUUUUUAGAGUUUGACAGAGAAACAGGAUUAGCUCCUCAACCGUUUUCCAUAUCCAGUGCAUGUAUUUCUAGAACUCGUCUCUGAUCGGAGAAACCCUGGCCCACUUAAAUCACAGGCUUUGAUAAAGACAAGAGGAGAAAGGAAACCAAUAAAGCAAGCCAAGAAGAGCGUGUAAUUUGUGUUUUGGGGGUGCCCAUGGAUAGGAUGUCGUGUGUGCUUACCCGGAGUCGCCACAUGUCAUUCUGAGGAUCACUUUCCUACAGUCUUUUCCUUUUACUUGCAUGGCUUAAAAAGUAAAUGUCAAACAAUUUAUUGUUUAACGAAAAUUGUAAAUGUGUUUAGUGGAAUUUAGUUAUAUGUUUUUAUGAUAGGUUCAAACCUAAUGCACGUGUCAUUUAUGUAAAUUUAGGAGUAAUCAUUUUAAUCAUCUAUACUUAGUACUUUUCCACAGUAUAUUUGAUUAUCUAACAUGCUAAAAAUCCCUCCAUCUCCAGAGUUAUAAAUGGGAGUAAUUAAACCUUAAAAAACUUUACACUUGAGUAGAGUAACGGCUUAUCUAAGCAGCACGUGCUUAAAACCAACUUUUUAUCAAAGAAAAUAACAUGAGAAGGUAGAGAAAUGCCUCUAAUUACAGUCCGCAUGAACUAACAGCCUAACUUUAACUUUGAACGACUGUUACUUUUUCCAUCUUUUUCAAAUAUCCUUAAAUAUAAGCACAUGUGGGAAUGCUCUUUGGCUUUUAUCAGACUGACAUUGCAGUGAUUUUUUUUUUUUUAACCUCACUUGAACAUUUGUGGUAAAAGAUUUCAAAGCUUUGAAUCUUAAAAUUUGCUUAUGGAUUCCCUCCCCCGUGUUAUUCUAUUAACAUUUGGUCUUAAUAAGUAUAACCUGUUCGGAAUUACUGCUGUUUUACAUUUAUUAUUUGUUUAGAUGAGAAAGAGGAAAGAAAAUUGAAAAUUCUGCUUGGCAGUUAAGAGUGCUUUCUCAUGGAAACUAAUGUCUUUGAGUUCCCCGUGAAGAUUUUAAUUGUCUUACCCCUCCUCAGAGGCUUAAACUUCCUGAAUUGUUUUCAAAUUACUGAUAUCUGCUCCUAUACUGAGAUAGUUUAUACAACGUGAGGUCGUCUCUCUUCAGACGGAUGUUGAGUGUGCCCACAUCUCCCUUCUUUGCACACCAGAACUUUUCUUCCCUGCUUCCGUAUAGUACAGCGACUUUAGUUUCAUUGACAAUGGAAAGCACUUGCCCUCAGAUGGAAGUAAACUUGUAUGGCCUGGCUCUCUGUGCUUUCCUGUUCAUAAUUCUUAUUUCCCCAUAGAGAAUAAUUGGAGAUGUAUUAUAGGUUAUAAUCAUGGUAUCCUUCAUUUUAAGUAGAAGUUGCUUCAUGUCACACCAGUAAGAAAUUUACUAAUUAAGAAUCAACUAAAGCCAGGCAUUGUGGCCCAUGCCUUUAAUCCUAGCAUUCAUGAGGCAGAGGCAGGUGGAUCUCUGUGAGUUACAGGCCAACUGGAACUAUAUAGAUGGCUUCUGUCUCAAAAAACACAAAACAACC
rnacentral:lncRNA from 1 species